rnacentral:rRNA from 1 species
AGUGAACGCUGGCGGUAGGCCUAACACAUGCAAGUCGAACGGCAGCACAGUAAGAGCUUGCUCUUACGGGUGGCGAGUGGCGGACGGGUGAGGAAUACAUCGGAAUCUACUUUUUCGUGGGGGAUAACGUAGGGAAACUUACGCUAAUACCGCAUACGACCUACGGGUGAAAGCAGUGGAUCUUCGGACCUUGCGCGAUUGAAUGAGCCGAUGUCGUAUUAGCUAGUUGGCGGGGUAAAGGCCCACCAAGGCGACGAUCCGUAGCUGGUCUGGGAGGAUGAUCAGCCACACUGGAACUGAGACACGGUCCAGACUCCUACGGGAGGCCGCAGUGGGGAAUAUUGGACAAUGGGCGCAAGCCUGAUCCAGCCAUACCGCGUGUGUGAAGAAGGCCUUCGGGUUGUAAAGCCCUUUUGUUGGGAAAGAAAAGCAGCAGGUUAAUACCCCGCUGUUCUGACGGUACCCAAAGAAUAAGCACCGGCUAACUUCGUG